rnacentral:lncRNA from 1 species
CAUUUCUCUUAAAUAUAUCCCACAGAUUUAUAUACUGCUUACAGAAAUCUCAGUUAUGAGGUCAGGCUCUGUAACAGCCUCCCAAGGAAACAAAAUCCACACAGACUUUCAGUGACAUCUAAACAGCAGGUGAUUUCAAUUUCUUCAAUAAUCAAACCUAGCUCCCAGAAUUUCCUGCUGCUGUGUCCAUUUUCAGCUUCCACAGUCAUUUCAUCAGCCUUCAUUUACACUGAUAACACAACACACCUGUUGGCUACUGCUCCCUGAAUGCCUCCAGUUUUACACCUUUUAGAAAGAAGAUUCUCCCAAAAUCCCAUGCCACAACACAGAUGUACCUCUUGACAGCCUCUCCUGCACCAAAUGUGCACAGACAGUUCAAGAAAAGCAGAACUGAUCUUGCAGUCCUUCAUCUCUCAUCACAUCUGUGCCUGUUUUGUCACAUUUUUUACCCUGUCUUCUCCCACUGCCAUCUUUCUGGUGCCACAGGAUUUAUCUUCAGCUCUAACUGGAUGGAUCUGAACACUGGAAAGACAGCCGUUGUGGUGCCUGCUGCAACUAAACAAGCAUUUAUGUUUGGAGUGGAGAUGCUGGAAGAUUGAAGUCACAUUAACUGUCAAAGUUGAAGUUCCCCAACAUUUUACAGAUCUUUGAAGUACCACAGACUUCCACAAUAUAAAAUUGUGGAAGCUAUAAAAAUGUACAAAGGAUGUAAUUCACUUUCAACUCCGUAGGCUCAAAAGACCCUAUGCACAAGAAACCAGCCACUGUUCUGUAGGAGUCACACCCUGCAAGGUGCAGAUCAUCUCUAUAAAUUUCAGUUAUCUGGGAACAGUCAUUAAAACAGAUGCUGAGCACAACUUGUAGGAUCAAGUCCUGAAAAUGGCAGUACAGAGUGCCAAACUGAAAGAUUAUCAAAGCUAAGAAGUCUCUUCCUGCAGGCAUUGUAAAUAAUCUCUGAAGCUGAUCUGGGGACAAGGAACAUAGAAACUUCUUCCACUUGCCAUCCAGUGUUGCACGUAUCUAUUAAAAGUCACGUGGCCUUAAAGGCAUUGGUGAGUCACUUAAGCUAAAAAGUUCACGUGGUCCAUUUGCUUGGAGGACAAACAUUUGCUCUUGAUGGCAAAAAAGGGCAGAAGGGGAAAGUGAGAAGAAAUCCUCCUUCCUACUAGAAAAUAAAUCACUCUGGAUUAGCA